rnacentral:rRNA from 1 species
AUGAAAGGUUGGAUGUUGCGGAUGGAGAGCUUCAUGGAGCGAGCUGAGGCUGCAUUGGGCGGGCUCUCCCUGACGCCGCCUGUGUUGCAGACUACUCAUGUGUUGCACCCUUUGGUUGUGCCCGAUGGCAGCUUCGACACUGAGAAGGGAGACGAGCUUCAUGGUCGUUUCUUCCCUCGAGCUAGGGCCAGCUCACCGCCAUUAGCCUCUGAGGGACUUGACAAUGAUGUGGUUGUGACUUCGGUGUUACAGAUCAUGCCCGAGCUUCGGGAGUUGUGUGGGGGCCCGGUUUUGCCUUUGUGUGUCGAGCAACUGCAGGUAGACCCUCCCAAGAUCUCGAGUGUGGCUUUGCCACCAACAUCACCCCUGGAGUCGAGCCAGAUAGUUGAUGCUGAGGAGAGUAGUGAUUUGGACGGUGCGAUCUCUCGCUCACCCAAGUCCAUUGGGCGGCAGGCGUUAGUCAUCGAGCGCGGAGUUCCAGAUGUUGUUGCCCUUCCCUCAUCUGCGACCAUCGAGCAGGUGAUGCCCGUGAGUGACAUGGCCAUUGAGCCAAGUGUGUUGGCACCUACUCCAACUCCAAAUUCAAAUGCUCUCUUCGCGAAGGAACUUUGUGACUUGCUCGCUAGCGUGGAGGUUGCUAGACCUGGUUUGGGCAGGUCGAUUGCUUGCCUCCUGACAGGAACGCCAAUAAGGGGCAAACAAAAGAAGAUGGGCGAAGGCAAGAGUGACGUCAUAGGCAAGGCGUCUCUGGUUGCUUGA